AUGACGCGCGAAGGUACGCUUUAACUUUCAACCCGUGAAUCAAGAUAACGGGUGACGACCGAAAAUUGUCUACUGUUUGAUAGACCCUCAUUUCUAGGUUAUUUCUGUAUGAUCGUUCGUUUCACAACUUCCGCGUGUAAAUGGUAUAU